rnacentral:tRNA from 1 species
AUUAAGAUGGCAGAGCCGGUAAUUGCAUAAAGCUUAAGCCUUUAACUCCCAGAGGUUCAAACCCUCUUCUUAAUA